CACACUGGGACUGAGACACGGCCCAGACUCCUACGGGAGGCAGCAGUGGGGAAUCUUGCGCAAUGGGCGAAAGCCUGACGCAGCAACGCCGCGUGGGGGACGAAGGCCUUCUGGGUUGUAAACUCCUUUCAGCAGGGACGAUCGUGACGGUACCUGCAGAAGAAGCCCCGGCCAACUACGUGCCAGCCGCCGCGGUAACAC
rnacentral:rRNA from 1 species